GACGAACACUGGCUGCGUGCUUAACACAUGCAAGUCGAACGCAACUGCUCUGCUUUUGUGGUGUGUUCGAGUGGCGAACGGGCGAGUAACACGGGAGUAACCUGCCCUUGACUUUGGGAUAACUUCAGGAAACUGGGUCUAAUACUGCAUAGGUGCUCCUCCUGCAUGGUGGGGGCUGGACAGUUUCGUAGUUUGGGCAUGGACUCACGUCUGAUGAGCUUGUGGGUGGGGGUGUGGCUUACCAAGGGCUGGAUGUGUACCCGGACUGAGAGGGUGACCGGCCACAUUGGGAGUGGGGUAUGGCAGCGAGACAUAGGGGAGGCAGCAGUGGGGAAGAUGGAAAGAUGAGGGGAAGACUGAUGCAGCAACGCCGCGAGCGGGAUGAAGGCCUUCGUGUUGUACACAGCUUUCGCUUGUGACGAAGCAUGAGUGACGGUAAUGGGUAGAGAAGCACCGGCUAACUACGUG
rnacentral:rRNA from 1 species